AACGAAUAUCAGUGAUUAACUAUGUUAUACCUGUUCAUUGAUACAGAUCAACAGCUUUCCCUUAAGAGAUUUUACUAGAUUGACUAACAAAACCACUGCGCGACAAAAACAGCACAAAUCACUUAACUUCUACACUCUUAAGGCUGGAGACUUCGCAAUGGGCAACGAAGAGAGCUCACGAUGUCGCGUUUGUGCGAUAAGACUCGACCCUAAAAAUAAGCARGACGUUGAAUCUAAUCUUUGUCAAAAAUGCAGGUCACAAGGUGCUAAAGCAUUAUGGGAAAACCGAGACUCCAUUAAAUCCCUGAUGAAAGGAGAAGUUCCAGGCCAAAAAAAGAAAAGACAAAAAGGCAAAAAAGAUCCGAAACAAAAGAAGAGACGGACUAGACCGUAGAAUAAUAAUUGAAUGGACGCUGUUGGUAGCAUGUURAAGGCAGGAAUGUAGUGUAGYUUAGUUAUGAAUGUCCUGUGAGAACUGCGGGCUCGCAAUGUGAUGUAAWUCGAUCCCAGGCCUCGUCUAAGAUWUUCAUGACAGWAUUAUACAUAAUUUGUUAUUGUGAACGYUGGGCUUCCUGUGUAGGGAAUAGAACCAACGACCAUGGUAAUAUUACUAGAAGAAAUAAA